AUUGAACGCUAGCGGCAGGCUUAAUACAUGCAAGUCGAGGGGCAGCAUGACUGUAGCAAUACAGUUGAUGGCGACCGGCAAACGGGUGCGGAACACGUACAGAACCUUCCUUCAAGCGGGGAAUAGCCCAGAGAAAUUUGGAUUAAUACCCCAUAGCAUUACGAAGUGGCAUCACUUUGUACUUAAAGAUUUAUCCCUUGAAGAUGGCUGUGCGGCUGAUUAGGUAGUUGGCGGGGUAACGGCCCACCAAGCCUGCGAUCAGUAACUGGUGUGAGAGCACGACCAGUCACACGGGCACUGAGACACGGGCCCGACUCCUACGGGAGGCAGCAGUAAGGAAUAUUGGUCAAUGGACGAAAGUCUGAACCAGCCAUGCCGCGUGGAGGAUGAAGGUCCUCUGGAUUGUAAACUUCUUUUAUAUGGGACGAAAAAGGGUCUUUCUAGAUCAACUGACGGUACCAUGUGAAUAAGCACCGGCUAACUCCGUGCCAGCAGCCGCCGUAAAAC
rnacentral:rRNA from 1 species